AUAGUUACCUGGAAGGGGAGAUACCAUGAUCACAAAGGUGGUUUUCCCAGGACAAGGCUUAUUUAUCCAUUGCACUCCAGAUGUGCUGACUGCUGCGAUUUCCCCAAAUGUGGGAAACUCGACUGCAUAAUUUGUGGUAGUGGGGGGACUAUGUUUGCGCUCUCCCCUG